GGUUGACCUCGGAUCAGGUAAGGGUACCCGCUGAACUUAAGCAUAUCAAUAAGCGGAGGAAAAGAAACCAACCGGGAUUGCCUCAGUAACGGCGAGUGAAGCGGCAACAGCUCAAAUUUGAAAUCCGGCCCCGGCGGGGUCCGAGUUGUAAUUUGCAGAGGGUGUUUCGGGGGCGGCGCCGGCCUAAGUUCCUUGGAACAGGGCGUCAAAGAGGGUGAGAAUCCCGUCUGAGCGUCGGUCGCCAACCCCGGGUGAACGCCCUUCGACGAGUCGAGUUGUUUGGGAAUGCAGCUCUAAAUGGGUGGUAAAUUUCAUCUAAAGCUAAAUACCGGCCAGAGACCGAUAGCGCACAAGUAGAGUGAUCGAAAGAUGAAAAGCACUUUGAAAAGAGAGUCAAACAGUACGUGAAAUUGUUGAAAGGGAAGCGCUUGCGACCAGACCUGUUGCCGGGCGAUCAUCCGUUACUCGUAGCGGUGCCACUCGCCCGGUCGCAGGCCAGCAUCGGUUCGGGCGGCGGGACAAAGCACGAGGGAAAGUAGCUCCCUCCGGGGAGCCUUACAGCCCGGGUGGCCAUGCCGCCCGCCUGGACCGAGGACCGCGC
rnacentral:rRNA from 1 species